CUGCAUCUUUGACAGCCUGGGCUCUCUGGUUGUGAGAUAUCCUGGGUUUUAAUAUUUCAGAUGCAAUAUUAAAUGUCCCUGCGCUUUCUGCUCGCUUCUUUUCCGUGGCGUCUCAGAUUGAAUCGGGGAGGAUAACU